GAACUAAAGAAACCAUCUUCUUCACAGUUUAGAGGUAAACAACCUCAUGCGCCUAUGCAGGGGGAAAAAAAAGGUGCAAACAGGGCAGAAGAAGGCUUCUAGGGAAACAGCACGUCUGGCAUGAACUGCACGUACACAUUUGCGAUCUGUGCAUGAACAAGAGGCCCCCAGAUGCCCCCAGCCCGUUUCUGGAAGGCUCCGAGAGGGCGGACUGCGCACGACAGCUAAUCUGCAUGGGAAGCGAGGAAGCACCUCCCAGAGGCGGGGCAGGAACCUAUAAAAACUGCAAACUGUGUGAAUAAAGGGAAAGAAGGAGCCCCGCCGAGCGGCUGCCUGUGUGCCACACUCCGCGGUCGUCGCGGCCGGGCCAUGGCCGCCGCCGGGGGGGGCUUGCAACAACUGAGGAUCUCAAACAGAGUCAGCGGAACAUCAUCGGACUCAGAGUGGCGCUCUCUGGGAAUACUUGUGAAACUCAGCUUCUGCAAAGGAUUUGUGUCAUAAUAUCUCAGCUGGAGAUAUUCCUGAGGAGGUCCUAAGCCAUUAACCAGGAUUUCCCUGGGUCAGGUCCUGUACAAACAUGGAGCAAGGAAGUGGUUGGUGUCCAACAGAGUUUGCAAGUGUAAGACAAGAGAUGAACUGAAACGGAGAAGGGUAAGAAAGCCGUCUAUCUUCAUCCAUACAGUGACCAGAGGAAGAUGAAGAAGGCCCAUUUCAGGAAAGAUGAGAUCUAGUCCUAAAGCUUCUGUAUUUUAAAUUGAUGCUACAGAAACCAAGGCCCACAAGGUGGGAUACAUAUCAUGGCUUUAAGUUAACAAGUGCCACUGAAGACGAAUGCAGCUGCCCUAUGGAGUGAGUGCAGAGCACCCUGUGUGCAGCCAGAAAGGUGGAGAGGUCCUGAAUCUGCGCUCUGCCUGUCUGCGGACGGAGAGAUGGUUGAAUGAGGGACUGUAUGUGGUGAUUGUUCUGGGGGUCACACCCCACCCUGUUCCCACAAAUAUUUAUCACUACCUUUCUCUACUUGUGACAGCAUCAGAAGGGGGCAGUCACCAUUUAGCCACCCUCCCACCCAGCAUAGGGCUGCGGAGAAGCUGAGCAAUCCCUCACACACCCAUGUCUGGGGAAGAUGUGGUCUGUGGAGCAUGAGUGCCAAUGCCUGGCACUCUGGAGAGGAUAAGCACUGCCUGGAUUUUCGGUGUAACUGCUCCUCUGAUGAGAGUCACUACUGUGUCUCAAGUGCAUCUUCUGCAGGAGUCUUCAGCUGCAGAGCAACUACCUAUGCAUCCUCUGUUUUUCAUAAAAGGGAGUUGUGACAGUGAUGAUGAACAGCUGAGGCAUUUUGCAGAAACAAGAAAACAGUGCACAGAGAAGUGGUAAUGGCCCUAGAGCAUUUUGCAGGCCUAAGGUUGCAUCAAAAAUUUAGAUCAUGCUAAAAGAAAAGCUCCUCAUACAAGAUGGAAGGAAGGGCUUAUAGACUUUCAGUAAAGAUAUGAAUCAGGCUAUAGAUGAUCUAGGAAGUUAUAUAUGCUGGUAAUAUAACCAACUAACUAUAGACUUGUAAAUUGAAAAUAUUUUAAAUGAAAGUUUCACAUAUGAAUAACUGAACUGAGUACAAUUAUCGAGAAUAUAAAUAUUUGUAUAUAAAUAUCCUCACGCUUGUAUUUAUUGGAAUAUCAUUAAAUCAAUAUUCUUUUUUUCACAAGAUUCAGCAGCUGAAAUUUUGCCUAGUUACAUUUUAUUGGUAUUUUCCACAUAUUCAUGGAGGAGAAGCUCACAAAUCAAUGACCUAAAGCCAGACAAGAGGCAGAGAACAACAGAGCAGAAGCUGGGGUUUUAAAAGGAUAGGUUGCAUUGAUGUUUCUGUCAUUUCCUUUGGUUCAUCACUUUUAUCCAUAAUCAAGUAAAAUUGGCUUUUGGUCUUAAUUCAAACUUAAAAGGAGCAUCAGGGGCAACUAAACACAUGGAUGCAUAUUUGAGAAAGCAUAUAAUCUGUGUAGACAGUGUGGUGAUUUUUAUAUAAUUAAAAUAAAAAGCUUUCUGACACUGUGA